AAGGGAGAGUAGUUAGAAUUGUUUCUUCUUGUCGAAAAGAAGAAAGGAAAAAGGUAAAGGGGAAAGGGUUCAUUCGGCCAUGGAGUUUGAGUUGCAUGCUUAAAUUGGAACGAAUCAAUCAGACGUGAACUGUGGAAAAACGAAAGUAACGGAGUAGCUAACGGCCAUAAUAUUACGACUAUUUUGUUAAGGAAAAACGUGAUUAGGGUCUUGAUCGGGAGAAAAACAUGGUUUACGCGGAUUAAACUCAUUUCUAUCAUUUUUGUACUGAGUUUCACCAAGCUAGCUCGGGGAUCGAAGAACAUUAGAGGCUCGAUCACACUAUCAAUUGAACAUUUGGGUAUAGUUAGCUUUAUUAUUUUGGAUAUGGCAUGUAUAGGGAUUUGGUCUUUUGUUAUGUGUCAUAUUGGUUAGCCAAAUGGGUUGGCUCAUUAUGGUAUUAUGAUUAUUUUGUAUAUGGCCAUGAGAGGUGAAUCAUAUUGAUUAUUUGGGUUGUAACCCUAAUUAUUGGUGCAUGCAUGCAAAUGUGUUUAUCUUAUGAUGUGGUUUUGGUUGCUUGUGGAUGAUAUGUAAGAUGAAUGGCAUAUGUGUUAAGCAAAUGAAUGAGGACUAAUAGGUAUGACCAUAUUUAUGGUAUAAUUGAGUAA